GCAUUCUUGGCCGAGUGGUCUAAGGCGCUGCGUUCAGGUCGCAGUAUCUUCGGAUGCGUGGGGUCGAAUCCCACAGAAUGCA
rnacentral:tRNA from 1 species